GGAGGUCAGAUGCAAAGUUAGACUUUCUCCAGCAGCUUUCUGCAGUUCUAGAACAUUUUUGGAAGUAACAGGUCAGCUUGGUGUGCCAGGGUUGUAUUUGGGGGUGCUUGCUGCAUUUAAUUGUAGGAGGUAGCAGAGUUAGGGCAAGUGAUAUAGCAAUCCCCAGAGUGUAUGUAGUUCUCCAAUCCCCCAAACAUGAGCCAAGAC